UACAGAGGGUGCGAGCGUUGUUCGGAAUUACUGGGCGUAAAGCGCGCGCAGGCGGCCUUUUAAGUCUACCCGUGAAAUGCCGGGGCUCAACCCUCGGAUGCCGGUGGAUACUGUCGGGCUUGAGUACGGAAGAGGCGAGUGGAAUUCCUGGUGUAGCGGUGAAAUUCGUAGAUAUCGGGAGGAACACCAGUGGCGAAGGCGGCGAUCUGGGAAGAUACUGACGCUGAGGUGCGAAAGCGUGGGGAGCAAACAGG
rnacentral:rRNA from 1 species